GAGGGCUGGACUCCAGCACGAAGGGAUCCGGAGCGCUGGCUGCAACGAUGCAGGCGAUGCAGGCCGACACACCACUGAGAACUGUUAACACCCCAUCCCCUUCACUCCCAAAAAGGAAAAGUCCAGGAAGCAGACAGCAGCCGGCAGACAGGAAUGGUGGUUGGUUCCCAGUUAGGUACAGACCGGGAGGGGCGCCCAGCUGUGCUUCCCUCCCCGGCCGCUAGGGGCCGCUGCCCCGCUGCUCUGCGGCCUCCAGGUGUUACUUGUCACCGUCUCUGGGUCAAGAACUCCUCUGAGGGAGUGCUCCUCCCGACCAAGAGGAAAGGUCAUCAACCAACAGG